GCUCGCUCCCGGGCCGCCG
rnacentral:misc_RNA from 1 species